GCAUAAAAAAAUUAAAGGGCAAUGUAAGUAUUGGAAAUAGUGAAAUAAGUUGAAAAAUAAUUCUAAGAGGGAAUAAUUUGAAGGGAAAUUUAAAAACAAAAAGGAGCCAAUUGGCUCCUUUCUUAUAAUUUGU
rnacentral:misc_RNA from 1 species